UACGGAGGGUGCAAGCGUUAUCCGGAUUCACUGGGUUUAAAGGGUGCGUAGGAGGGCAGGUAAGUCAGUGGUGAAAUCUCCAAGCUUAACUUGGAAACUGCCGUUGAUACUAUCUGUCUUGAAUACCGUGGAGAUGAGCGGAAUAUGUCAUGUAGCGGUGAAAUGACUUAGAUAUGACAUAGAACACCAAUUGCGAAGGCAGCUGCUACAGGAUAUUGACACUGAGGAGCGAAAGCGUGGGGAUCAAACAGG
rnacentral:rRNA from 1 species